rnacentral:rRNA from 1 species
CAUGCAAGUGGUUAUAUUAACCCGACAGUUUAAAUAAGUGUUCAUAUUGCGUUUUAUAUACACACACACACACAAUAUAUACAAACGCAUUACAUUCACUACAACAGAAAGACGUAUCACUUACGCAACUGCAGACAGCUGCUUAAUACAGUCACACUUGUCUUGACUUGGCACAACCCACACACACACAUACACAACACAUACACAUAUUYUCACACAAUAUGUGAUUUCUCUGUUUUCGCAUAUUUACAAGAAUUGCGAUUACAUCGKGACAUUCUUUUUUUUUAUGGAUAACUCAGGGAAAGUUUGGCUAAUACGUACGAGUAUUUUUUACAACACACACACACACACCUACACAACCACACAGUAUACUACUCAGCACUCAAUGGUAAACUUUGAUAUUUUACAUUCGUGUAUUUUGUCAGUUUUAAAGUUUAACCGCAACAUGAGAGACAUUGAGUACGCACUGCAUUAUUUUUAACUUUACUGUUAAUAUUUUGCAAUUACGCUGAGCAGACUUUGCGAAGUUCACUUUGCGAAGCAUGUCAUACAAGCAUCUACAGCAUCAAGUCACAGGGUUGGCAAGUGUAUUUUUGAACCUUCAAAGCAGUCACGCAUACGGAAGAGUAGUUUCUGAUCCCAUAGAAGGAGCACCGUACAAUGAGAGACCGCUCUUAGUUCUAAGGAACGCAGCAGGCGCGUAAAUUGCCCAAUGCUAGUACCCUAAUACUAACUAAUAUAUAACAAUUUACCAAUUAUAUGCUUUACAGCAUAUUAUUGACACUUUUAUUAACUACUGUCAACACACAUACACACAUACACAUCCUUGUUCGCAUGUCCUUAUAUGUUAAUAAAUAUUAAAUAUUAUAUUUAUAUAUUAUUUAUUUUUUUUUACUGAGGCAGUGACAAGCUGUAACGGUUGAGUAUAAAAAUGACGAGUGUCUGGCAUUGCCGCUUCUUUCGGGGAGCUUGGCAAGUUGCCGACGCUUUGUGUGCUCAAUUGGAAUGCGGUGAGUUUAAGCAACUCAGAACCUUUAAUACGGUGUGAUUUUUUGAUCAUCGUGUUAUGUAUCUGAAUUUCAAGUGGAGGGCAAGUCUGGUGCNNNNNNCCGCGGUAAUACCAGCUCCACUGGCCUAUACAAUCAUUGUUGCGGUUAAGAGGCUCGUAGUUGGAUUGAACUACUGAUUUUUUAUAAAAAUCAUUAUAAAAUACUAUCAGUAUUUUUUUUAUGUAUAUUUUAUUAUAUACAUUCGACGCUGUUAUAUUAAUUUAUUUAUAUGCGGCACACACACACACACACACACAAACAUACGCAGUAUAGUAUUUUUUUUUUAUUCAUAUCAUUUCAACACUGUGAACAAAUCAGAGUGUAUCAAACAUGUCGUUUUUGAAUGUGCAUUGAAUGUCUUAUCAUGGGAUGUUGCCACUUUCAUAACUUUGUUAAAGAUACACACACACACACACACACACAAAUAUACAUACAUCAGCGUAAAGCCAAUGUAAWUUUUUAUCUUUAACGGUUAAAAAUGUCGAUGGGGAUAGUUGGAGUCAACAGUACUGCUGGGCGAGAGGUGAAAUUCAUUGACCCUAGCAAGACUACCAAAAGCGAAAGCAGUUGGCUAGGCUAUACUCUUUGUGAUUAUUAUAUUAUAUAUAUAUAUAUGUAUUAUUAYACACACACACACAUACACAUUAAUAAUAAUAUAUUUUUUUUAUAUAUAUUUUAUAUAUACACUUUACAAUGAAGAACGAAGGUUGGGGGAUCAAAGAGGAUCAGAUACCCUCGUCGUCCCAUUAAUUACAUCAAACGAUGGACUCUCAAUUGCAUUUAUACUCGUAUAAUUGCAAAUUUCCUCAGCCUGCAAAUAUAUUUUUGGCUUGAGCUCGUGAUUUCGAUCACGCUCGCCUAUUUUUAUUUCGUAUGGUCUCGAUGUGACGUUUCAAUUAUAUAUUUUCUUUGCGUGUAAGCAUUAUACAUUAUUCUUUGAAACAUAAGAUUUGUAUUGCGUGCACUUGAUUUUCGGAGCUUUGCGCUCAAUUCUGGUGAGAUGUAAGCACUAUGUUAUUUUGCCCGUACAUGUAUACUUUCGGGUAUUUCAUUGUAUUGUGUGCAUUUUAACACUUUCAGUGUGAAGCACGCUUUAGGCACGCGCUUACUGCAGAAAUGUCUGAGACAUUCUCCUCCGGGGGUAGUAUGCACGCAAGUGUGAAACUUGAAGGAAUUGACGGAAGGGCACCACAAGAACGCGUGGAGCAUGUGGCUUAAUUUGACUCAACGCGGGAAAUCUUACCGGGUCCGGACACACUGAGGAUUGACAGGCAAUAUUAUAAUUUUUUAAUUGGAAUAAAUUUUUAUUAAUUUAUUUUUUUUAUUUUUUAUAUGUUAAAUAUGCUAGUCCUUUCAUGAUUAUGUGAUAGGUGGUGCAUGGCCGUUCUUAGUUCGUGGAGUGAUCUGUCUGCUUAAUUGCGUUUCACUAUUGGGCUUAUAUAAUUACGUAUGUUGUUAACGCUUUGACCCCUUUCUACGGAUUGUGCGUGUCUUUGUCUCGUUUAACUCAUACAAUUAAGCCCUGAAAGCAACGAACGUGACCGCAACCUCUUGUUGCUCUCAUAUUACCUUAUACUGCAUAAUAUUUGAAUAAUUUAUUUUAUUUUUUUUUAUGUUUAAGAGAGCUUUCUAAACUAGAGGGACCGCUGUUACUUUCUUAAACCAGAGGAAGGUUGCGGCAAUAACAGGUCUGUGAUGCCCUUAGAUGUUCCGGGCUGCACACGUGCUACAAUGAUUAUUGCAGUGAGCAUCUCAUUUUUUACACAUCGCAUGCGCGAGUCCAUUUAUUCAGAUAUCUUUCAUUUACUUUCGGGUGAAUGUAGUGUUUGCUUUAAAUGUGUAUCUCUGCGCGCGAUAAAGCCUGCUUCGAAAGUAAGUGGGUAAUCAAUUAGAAGUAAUGAUUUCCUUUUUUUUUCUGCACACAUAUAUAUGGCACUUAUACCCGGGUAACCUUGUUGUUACUUUUGUGCGUAUACGUGAUAAUCUUUACCGAUUAUACUACCAUAUGUGCAAUUGUCAAUUCAUGGUGGGGACAGACCAUUGUUAAUUGUUGGUCUCGGUCUUAACUAGGAAUGCCUUGUACGGAUCUUUGGUUCAACAAACCAUCCGGAAUACGUCCCUGCCCUUUGUACACACCGCCCGUCGCUCUUACCGAUGGACUUCUCUGUGAGUUUGAGGGACUGGUAAAUUAAAUAAUAUCAUGUAUUUAUACGUGUUUUAUUUGUCACUAUAGAAACUUAAACGAACAGUGGGGUCUAAAGGAAAGAGAAGUCGUAACAAGGCAUCAGUAGGUGAACCU